rnacentral:lncRNA from 1 species
GCCUCUUGGUAGUAAAAAAUACCUUAAAGAGGGAAAUGGUCGGCUGAACCUUGGCCAGGAAGCAAAUGGCUAUAAAGCCAUAGAUGAAGCAUCAUGAGUUCGAUACUACUGAACUCAAGGACAUGUCAAGAAAUUUGAAAAGUUGAAUGAUGAAAGGAUGGAGCGGAAGCUUAAGUCUGGCUUGAAAGAAUUCUUUAUACAUCCCAAGUUGACCAAGGG